rnacentral:rRNA from 1 species
UACGGGAUAAUAUAUUUGAGAGGCAUCUCUUGAAUAUCAAAGGUGAGCCAGUACAGGAUGGACCCGCGUCUGAUUAGCUAGUUGGUAAGGUAACGGCUUACCAAGGCGACGAUCAGUAGCCGACCUGAGAGGGGGAUCGGCCACAUUGGAACUGAGACACGGUCCAAACUCCUACGGGAGGCAGCAGUGGGGAAUAUUGCACAAUGGGCGAAAGCCUGAUGCAGCAACGCCGCGUGAGUGAUGAAGGCCGUCGGGUCGUAAAACUCUGUCCUCAAGGAAGAUAAUGACGGUACUUGAGGAGGAAGCCCCGGCUAACUACGUGCCAGCAGCCGCGGUAAUACGUAGGGGGCUAGCGUUAUCCGGAUUUACUGGGCGUA